GACAGAGGGUGCAACCGUUGUUCGGAUUUACUGGGCGUAAAGCGUGUGUAGGCGGCUUUGCAUGUCGGAUGUGAAAGCCCACGGCUCAACCGUGGAAGUGCAUCCGAAACUGCAUCGCUGGAGUCCCGGAGAGGAAGGUGGAAUGCUUGGUGUAGAGGUGAAAUUCGUAGAUAUCAAGCAGAACACCUGCGGCGAAGGCGGCCUUCUGGACGGUGACUGACGCUGAGACACGAAAGCGUGGGGAGCAAACAGG
rnacentral:rRNA from 1 species